rnacentral:rRNA from 1 species
GACAGAGGAUACAAGCAUUACCUGGAAUGAUUAGGCGUAAAGAAUCUGUAGGUGGCUUUUUAAGUCCACCGUCAAAUCCCAAGGCUCAACCCUGGACAGGCGGUGGAAAAUACCAAGCUGGAGUAUGGUAGGGGCAGAAGGAAUUUCCGGUGGAGUGGUGAAAUGCAUAGAGAUCAGAAAGAACACCAAUAGUGAAAGCACUCUACUGGGCCGAUACUAUCACUGAGAGACGAAAGCUACAGGAGAAAAUGGG